GGUGCGUUAGUUCAGUUGGUUAGAAUAUCUGCCUGUCACGCAGGGGGUCACGGGUUCGAGUCCCGUACGCACCG
rnacentral:tRNA from 2 species